UACAGAGGGGGCAAGCGUUGUUCGGAAUUACUGGGCGUAAAGGGCGCGUAGGCGGCCUUCUAAGUCGAACGUGAAAUCCCCGGGCUCAACCCGGGAACUGCGUCCGAUACUGGAAGGCUUGAAUCCGGGAGAGGGAUGCGGAAUUCCGAGGUGUAGCGGUGAAAUGCGUAGAUAUCUGGAGGAACACCGGUGGCGAAGGCGGCAUCCUGGACCGGUAUUGACGCUGCGGCGCGGAAAGCCAGGGGAGCAAAGCGGGAUAAGAA
rnacentral:rRNA from 1 species